rnacentral:rRNA from 1 species
GACGAACGCUGGCGGCGUGCCUAAUACAUGCAAGUCGAGCGGAUUGAUUUGGAGCUUGCUCCAAUGAUGUCAGCGGCGGACGGGUGAGUAACACGUGGGUAACCUGCCUGACAGACUGGGAUAACGCUUGGAAACGAGUGCUAAUACCGGAUAGGCUUUUGGAUCGCAUGAUUCGAAAGGGAAAGAGGCUAUCGCCUCACUGUUAGAUGGACCCGCGGCGCAUUAGCUAGUUGGUGAGGUAACGGCUCACCAAGGCGACGAUGCGUAGCCGACCUGAGAGGGUGACCGGCCACACUGGGACUGAGACACGGCCCAGACUCCUACGGGUGGCUG